rnacentral:lncRNA from 1 species
GUAUUCAUAGAGACAGUCAGUUCUCAUCAUAUUAAAUUUGAAAUUGCAUUGAUGGGUUAGUUCCAUUAUUAUUCAUUGUUUUCUUACAUAAUGAUCCAUAUAAUUAUGAUAUCAGUUAGAAAAUAUACUUUAUUCGAAGUAUAUUUAUGUUCAAGGUAUACAGAAAACACAAACCUGAAGUAUAACCUGACUUACAAUUUUGCCCUCUGACGGACACUUUAGCCGAACACCUUUUUUCGCGUUUUUCUCCAAAAAUAACUCAAUCUGAAUAUUCAUAUGAAUGAAUGACAAAUGCGACUAUGCACUGUACCUAUAAUACACAGAGGCAUGAUGAUUAAUUUGUUGUGGAAAAAAAGAGAAGCGACACACAAAAUGAGGUCUUCUCGUUUAAUAGUAUAGAUACAUGUAUGCAUGUCAACCUUUCUAGUGUAUCCAUUGCAUAAAAAAAAAAGUUAUGUCCAAGUCACACCCAUUUUGUAUUUCCUGUCUCUUCUAAAUACAUUUAAAUCAAACUACAUGCACACUACAUGUUGAUUGUGUAAUAACAAAAAUGUUGUUAUAUCUUGAAGAUUGCAGAACGUAUGAAAUAAUCCAGCAGAAAUGGUCAUAAUAUUUCCCAGUUAGUUAAAGAUAGUGAGAAACCGGUCAUAUUUUAUGACUGGAAUACAUACCUGCAGCAGUAUUUUAAAACACAUAAGCAUAUUAGUACUUAUCACCACUUCAUAGUUGAUUCAAGCAAACCAGGAUAUGUUGUUUUUAAAGAUUCAUGUGACUCUGUUCAUAUAGCCAUCAAUUUGUUAAAAAAGAACACUAGAAUUUCAAAUUUACUAUGCCAAACACUUUAACAUCAGAAGGAUUAGAUGCAGACAGUGGUAUUUGUACGAACAAAUCAGGGAAUAUUGUUAUAGCGAGGCUAAUAAAGAUGUCAUUUGUCAAAAGCCAACAAUUGCCAAAAGUGAGGUUGACUUGACCAGUGAUGUGGAUACCAAUAAACACAAAUGUCCAUCAAGGAAGCAGAAUCUACUUAAUUAAAAUACCACAAAUAUAUUUUUGUCUUCUUUUCUCAUUUA